UACAGAGGGUGCGAGCGUUAAUCGUAAUUACUGGGCGUAAAGCGCGCGUAGGCGGCUUUGCAAGUCGAGUGUGAAAUCCCCAGGCUUAACCUGGGAACUGCAUUCGAGACUGCAUAGCUAGAGUAUGGGAGAGGGAAGUGGAAUUUCAGGUGUAGCGGUGAAAUGCGUAGAUAUCUGAAGGAACAUCAGUGGCGAAAGCGACUUCCUGGACCAAUACUGACGCUCAUGUGCGAAAGCGUGGGGAGCAAACAGG
rnacentral:rRNA from 1 species